AGGGGGGACAGUGGCUUCAUCGUCUUGAUUCUCUUUUCAAUUAUUUCAUUGGGGGUUGUGGGCUGGGUCAUAAUUUUGUGUGUGAUAUUUGUAAGUUUGAUGAUGUGAGUGAGUGCGUGAGUGGUUGGACUUGACACCACUAAAACUGCCUGCUCAUACAAAGCACAACUGUGGGUCCUUGUAAGGUCCACAGCCACAAACAAUUCAUCUUGAAAACAUAGACGUAGAGACUUGCGUGUGCAGCGUGCUCGGGAGGAGGAGGCAACCGCAUCUUCGCGUCCACCAGUCAGUCAACUUCAAUAAUUCCUUUUGUUUCUUGCUUGCUUGCUUGCUUGCGUUGCUUGCUUGAUUUAUAAAUUAUAGUUGCUUUCAAGCGAGCCAAAACCAUUUUGGUACAAGACGAUUGGCUGGCUAACAACAGGCUAUCCGAUCCCAUCCAAUCCCA
rnacentral:lncRNA from 1 species